rnacentral:lncRNA from 1 species
UUUGGAGUUGUUGAGUCCACAGUGUGCUGGUAGGUGCUUGGGAGGAGUUCAGGCAUCUGGAUUGUUACUUUGGUCUUGUGUGGUGACAUUCUUACAGCAACCAUAUAAUCAUCUUCUAAAAGCUGUGGUCCAGGUGUAAAGAGGUUGUGGCCAUGAAGACAUGCUUUUCAUUAGAAUUGUUAUUGAGUUUUGCAAUCUGCACAUAGCAGGCAAAAUGACCAUGAGAUGGUAAUUAAUUGGUCUGUUUAUUAUUUCAGAAAGGAAGAAAAGUUCACAAUUCUGGUCAUUGCAAAGCCUCCAAAUUGGAGAUUAAAAAACAACAACAACAACAACAACAAAACCAUAAAACACUUGUGUGAACACAGAUUCCCUCCUUUCAUUUUUUAAAUGUAGAUAUUUUUUUCUUGAAUAAUGAGUGUCUUGUAGGACAAGAGGCUCUUGACUGAAAGUUGGCAUUAAAAUACUUGCUAUCUGACAGCAGUAUAAGCAGAUUGUACAAAGGAGACCACUGUUUAAUCACUGAAGUUCAAAACCAAGGUUUCUCUCUACGAAGGGUGUUUGGAGCCUCUAAAAAAUGCAACAGAUGGGUACCUCAAAUUUAAAUUCUUUUGAUAAUGAUUAAGGAUUUUCUGCUUAAAAAUGAUGAAAAUAAAACUUUCACUGACAGCCUUUGAAGAUGUCAGGAGAAGAUCUAUCAGGAAAUUAUAAAUUUUUUGUGGGUUUCAUUUUAAAGUAAAUGGUUUUUGCUUCUCUGUACUAUAUGAUGUGACUUUUCUGCAUUUUAAUAAAAGUUUUCACUUGAGCUCAUGUAAAACUCAGAAAGAAGCAAUAGUUAUAAAUAAGAGUAUAUGCAUUAUUUCUUGUACUUUUACUGAAUUGAAAAACUUGAAAAAAAAUUUAAUCUCUGGUGCAAAAAAAAUAGAGAUGGUUCCAACUGAACUGUUAAAUUAUUUAUCUUUUCUUAGUCAUUGUAUAGAAAUUUACCACCUCAAGCAAACAAAACCUACCGAUGAGCU